rnacentral:rRNA from 1 species
UACGUAGGGUGCAAGCGUUUAAUCGGAAUUACUGGGCGUAAAGCGUGCGCAGGCGGUUAUAUAAGACAGUUGUGAAAUCCCCGGGCUCAACCUGGGAACUGCAUCUGUGACUGUAUAGCUAGAGUACGGUAGAGGGGGAUGGAAUUCCGCGUGUAGCAGUGAAAUGCGUAGAUAUGCGGAGGAACACCGAUGGCGAAGGCAAUCCCCUGGACCUGUACUGACGCUCA